rnacentral:lncRNA from 1 species
GAAUUUCCACCUCAUUCUUUUUAACCCGAGGAAAAUUCAUAGCCGCUAUUUUUUUUAGUGUGCAUUACGUACACUCACUCCCGUGUAAUAUAACUCGCAAAUUACGUAUAGAAGAUGUAAACUGCACUAUGCAAAUCAAGUGCGACGAGCUCGACUGAGAAGAUGUUGACAUGAGGAAUUGAUCACUGUCUUCCCUUAUGAGAUACCAUCUGUUGCUCCAACUCAACCAUCCUGAUAAGUCAAAAUUAAAUUACUAAAUCGAAUUAGUUGAACCGUUAUCUCCAAAACUUUUAAUAAU